ACGGGUACCCGGACCUGCCCAACAACUCGUCUCCAUUCCCGACCUUCACACCCCUACCCGGUCCGCAGGGCACUCUCCUCCCCUCUCUCAGGCACGUCCUUGACCUCAGCUGCCACGUGCACAUGCUGGUGCCUUCCAGGCUGGAGUAUAGUGGCAUGAUCAUAGAUCACUGCAGCCUGAAACUCCUGGGCUCAAGCAAUCCUCCCACCUCAGCCUCCAUAUAGCUGGUGGGGAUCAAGUUUCUAACACAUGAAUCUUGGGAGACACAUUCAGACCAUCGCAGUGGCCUUAUAAGACUGUCCUCAGCAAACCAGAAAGCAGGUGGACCCUCAUCAGACACCAGAUGUGCCUGCACCUUGACCUUGGACUUGCCAGCCUUCAGAACAGUAAGAAAGAAAUGUGUGUUGUUUAAGCCACCCAGUCUAUGGUAACUUGUUAUAGCAGCCCACUAAGACCCCAAGAUAUUUAAAAACUCAUCAGCACCUGCUUUCUGCAUCUGGACCCUGAUCAUCUGGUGGGUUUACCAGUUACUUGUAGAGUGUCCCUGUGAUAGUUUUAGGUGUCAACUUGACAGGAUUGAGGGAUGCUUAGAUGGCUGGGGAAACACUGUUUCUGAGAAGGACCAUGUUUUUGGAGGAGACUGUUUUAUGGGUGAAUUUCGGGGGACAAAUUCAGAUCAUGGCACUGGCAUUAUAAAGAGAGACACAAAAGCUUGCUCUCUCUCUCUGCCAUGUGAGACUAACACACAAAGACUGCCAUCUGCAAACCAGAAGCAGGUGGGCUCUCCUCAGACACCAGAUCUGCCUGCACCUUGACCUUGGACUUGCCAGCCUUCAGAACUCUAAGAAAGAAAUGGUAGCAUGGCUUGGUCUAAGUUGGAAGGCCUGAGGAACAAGGAAGCCUAUGGUGGAACUGAGUUCAAGGAUAAAGACUUGAGAAUACCUACUCAGUGGGCUGAGUAGGGAAGACCAACCCUCAAUGUAGGGAGGCACUAUCCAAUCACCUGAGGGCCCAGACGGAACAAAAAGGUGGAAGAAGGGUGAAUUCUGUCUUCCAGAGCUGUGACACCCUUCUCCUUAUGCCCUUGUACCACACAACUCUAGGUUCUUUGGCCUUUGGACUCUGACACUUGCACCAGUGGCCCUCUGGAGCUCUCAAGCCUUUAGCCUUGAACUUAGUUACACCAUGUGCUUCCUUGUUUCUCAGGCCUUCUAACUUGGAUCGGGCCAUGCCACCAGCUUCUCUGAUUCUCCAGCUUGCAGACGGCAUAUUGUGACCCUGACAUUUAAUGACUUUAGUCUUAAGCAAUUUUCUUCCUCUGUGGAUUGAUAUUUGGAUAUCAAUGUGGAUAAUAAUUUCUCACCAAGGUAACUGUUAUGAGGUAAAAAUGAGUUAACAUAAGUAAAACCUAGCAAAAGCAAACCAUCCGAAAUGGUUAAUACUUACUAUUAGUACUUGAAGAAAUAAAUGUUUUCGACAAUAAACUUUGUGUGCAGUUUUCCUCAGCCAGUUUCAACUGAGCUGAUCAUUUAUGUGACAGUUUCAUUACCAAAUUGAUGUUCUCACCACUAUUUCAAGUGCAGUAUGAAACUUUAUUUGAAAUUCUAGAAAAAUAAUUAAUUAAGGUUGUUUGGCUCUUGCAGCCUGUAUUAAUUUCCUAGGGCAGCCGUAACAGAGGAGUCACGUACCACAUAACAUUUCGGUCAGCAGUCACCUGCAUUUUUGACAGUACUCCAUACAAUUAUAACACCAUUAUUUUUACUGUGCCUUUAUGUUUAGAUACACAAAUACUUACCGUGUUACAGUUGCCUAUAGUAUUCAGAGUACAGUCACAUGCUGUACUGGUUUGCAGCCCCAGCGCAUUAGGCCAUGCCAUUGCAGCCUAGCUGUGUAGUAGGCUCUCCUAGCUAGGUUUGUGAGUGUGCCCUCUAUUAUGUUCACACAAUGGCCUAAUGAUGCAUUUCUCACAACGUAUCCACGUUGUUAAGUGACCCAUGACUAUUCAUUCUACAAACUGAGAAGCUUAAGUAACAGAAACUUAUUUUCUCACAGACUUGGAAGACAGAAGCCUGAAAUCAAGUUGUUAGCAGGGCCAUUGACCUCUGAAGGCUCUAGAGGCAAAUCUUUUCUUGCCUCUUUCAGCUUCUGGUGGCUCCCAGCAAUCCCUGACAUUCUUUUCCUUGUAGUUACACAACUCUUAAUCCCUACCUCAGUCUUCACACGGUGUUCUCCCCUGUGGGUCUCUAAAUCUCUCACUCCUCAUAAGGACAAGUCUUUGCAUUCAGGGCCCCUCAAAUCCAGUGUGACCUCAAUUUGAUUACCUUUGUAAAGAUGCAAUUUCCGAAUAAGGUCACAUUCAUAUGUACUGGGGGUUAGGACUUGAACAUGUAUUUUUAGGGGGCACAAGUGAACCCACAUCAGAGGUCAAGCCCCAAAGCAGCCUACAUGGCGAAACCAGUCUUUUCAUGAAAAUGUAAACUGAGGUAAGGGCCAUGCUGCCUUGGAAAGCGUUCUGUGUUGUCAUUCCAGAGCCACAGGGGCUGGAUAGUGACAACAGAGGUGGGUUGCAGAUCUAUGGGCUACUCUUUGCAGAGGCAGUAAGUAGGGACUGCCACAGCAUUCAAUUAAUUUCCUGUAAGAAUACAUUUUAUUCAAGUUGAUAAAAAAGCUAUACUUGUUAACAUUGCAUAACAUUCCUGUGCUAUCAAAUGAGAAUCUCCAGAAAUGAAUUUGAAUAGCUAUAAAACCCACAUUUUUCUGCAGAUACAUGUGUGGCCACCUGAGAGCCAGGUCCCUCAGUGUCCACAGACAUAACCCUGCCACCUACCGCCUGCUUCCCAGAGCAGAUGAAGCUUCUGCCAACUCAGGCUUAUCCCAGUCUCUAUUUCAGGCCAUCAGCUGGAUGAAGAAUUAAUUUAAUAAGCAUCAAACAGCUUGCAAAGCAUUGGUGAGUGGCUGAGGGCCACGAAACGAGACCACCGUGUGGCCCAUCUUUGAAGAUGAAUCCAACAGCAGUGACUCUCCCUGCGUCCUCCCCAUCUUGUUUUCUGCUUUUCCAUACAAUGGCUUAUUCACUGCGUGUGACAUCAUCACUAGCACUAUGUUUAUCUAUCAAAGUUCUUCUGUUUUGUGGGUUUGUUUUGCAUUAAAGGUCUACUUAUCUGA